AAUUAGAAGAAGAAAAUGUUUCACUCUGUCAUCCUAGGGAGAUAUGUAGGGAACUUGUAAAUGCAUACAGAUUUGCUUUGAAUUCUUUUUAAAAAUUAAUUUGCACUUUACUUGAAAGGCAGAGCAAGAGAUGGGGAAGAGAGAGAGGGAGAGAGAUCCAUCUUCCAUUCACUGAUUGCUUCCACAAAUGGCUGCAAAAGCCGGGUUUGGAACAGGACGAAGCCAGCAGCCAGGAAUGCUAUGCAUACAGGUGGAAAGGACGAGCCAUCACCUGCUGUCUUCCGGGAUGUGCGUUAUAAGGAAGCUGGAUCAGAGGGGAAUACUUGGGACCCCACCCACGUGCUCUGAUAAGGGGUGUGCGUGUCCAAAGGGGAGUCUUACGGCUGAGCCAAGUGUUGCUCCUGGCAGGAUUCUUAAGCCAAGCAUUUGUGUCAUCCUCUUUGCAUUAGCUACUUCAAAAGUAAUGUUUUUACUACAAUACUUUGUAACAUAAACGGCAGGAAAAACAAUAGAGCAAUGUGAAGACGAAGCUGACUCAGCUGUUAAAUCUGUUCAAAUGGCAGCUCCCUUCCAUUCAGGUGUACAACUGAGCGAUGCCUCACAGGCUCUGCUUGAACAGAUCAUUCCUUACCCGUAAUUAAAGCACCAUUCGCAGUUACUUUAGCAAACUGUUGCAUGCUUUCUGCUCCGGUCUCCAGGAGGCUGCCUGCCGUGUCUGGUAAAGGUAGACUGGCUUGAGAAUUAACUCACUACAAGGAAAUGAGCAGAUUGUAAUGCUAGCUCUGCUUAGUGGGCCUUUCGGGGUCUUCUUUUGUUUUCAAAUCAAGACUUUGGCUCCUGCAGGCCUCAGUGGGAGUUGAGUUGCUUAGUAACCCUGCACUCACUAAGGGCUGCUGCUAACAGGCACUGCAUUGGGAGGAACCGGGUAGAGCAGGCGGCUGGCAGCACUGCCACAGAGCUCCAAGAGAGCACACCGGAGCUCCAGAGCCCCCAGUUUUCUGUCCUGUUUGUUUUCACGCAUAUCAUUUGUUUGCAGAAAUUAAAAAAGCCCUCAAGGGAUGGAGGCCAAACUGUUGCCUGGAAGUCGUUCCUUCUGGUGAGAGAGAAGCCGUGGACCGCUGGAUUCGCAUUCAGAGCUGCCGCGAACGGGUGAGGAAGAAGGGCUUUGUUCCUGGACCACUCGAGAGCGUGUGGACAGGAGUCCGGCUUGGUGAGUUCAGUUUUCAGCAGUUACUUUCCGUCCCGUGGUUGCGUGUUUCCCACGGGACACACCUCUGCGGUAGCUUUUCUCACCUGUCUCGAGGGUCACAGCCCAGACCCCUAGGACAGACGACAGAUUUAUGUGACGUGGCAGCCCUCAGAAUGCAGACCGAGAGACCUGCAGAGUGGACGGCUGGGAUGCAAUCAGAAGGGCUGAGGGGAUCCCACGAGGCUCGCCUGUUGAGAUUCCCCUUGGCCUCUCUGUGCGGCAUUCCUUCCCCUUGGGUACAGGCCAAGGCCUUCUGGAACGAGGCUCUCUGUCUUUUGGUUUGCAGUACUCAGCGUGCUAAAGUGCCACACUUUGGGGUAUCGUUGUCUGAGCCCCAGUGUUGGACUGUCUCCCCCUCCCCGUGA
ensembl:lncRNA